rnacentral:lncRNA from 1 species
UAGCACUUGAAAAAUGUUAUAAAGGAGCACAAAACAACACAUAAAUAUAUAUGUAUAUAAAAGCUGACAUCUUUGUAGGGCAUACAUUGCAUUCAGCAACUCCCCAAGGAAAAACAACUUUACCUACUAGAUAAAGGACUCAAAAAAUAGAAAUAAAUAUGGAAACAAUCACAAUGGGAACUCAUUUUGGAGAAGUUUUCUUUGGGCGGGAUACUCAGAAACGCAUUUUUAAAUUACGGGAUCCCGUUUGUGAAUAAUAAAUACAGUGAUAUUUCUACCUCAAGCUUUAAACCAAGUAGCGAAACGAGGACCCACGUGAUAAAUAACUGAAAAUUUAUUGCUGCACAGAAACUUUUUUUCUUCGCUAGAGAAUAUGCUUAUUCGCAGUCCAGAAAAUGGGCUUAGCUUAACUGAAGAAGAUUUUUAUAAUAUGGAGUUUUCUUAAACCAAUAAUUU